GACGUAGGGCGCGAGCGUUGUCCGGAUUUAUUGGGCGUAAAGAGCUCGUAGGCGGCUUGUUGCGUCGACCGUGAAAACCCGGGGCUCAACUUCGGGCUUGCGGUCGAUACGGGCGGGCUAGAGUUCGGUAGAGGGUAGUGGAAUUCCCGGUGUAGCGGUGAAAUGCGUAGAGAUCGGGAGGAACACCAGUGGCGAAGGCGGCUGCCUGGACCUGCCCUGACACUGAGGCACGAAAGCGUGGGGAGCAAACAGG
rnacentral:rRNA from 1 species